GCCUGAUCCAGCCAUUCCGCGUGCAGGAUGAAGGCCUUCGGGUUGUAAACUGCUUUUGUACGGAACGAAAAGGCUCUGGUGAAUACCCGGGGCUCAUGACGGUACCGUAAGAAUAAGCACCGGCUAACUACGUGCCAGCAGCCGCGGUAAUACGUAGGGUGCGAGCGUUAAUCGGAAUUACUGGGCGUAAAGCGUGCGCAGGCGGUGAUGUAAGACAGAUGUGAAAUCCCCGGGCUCAACCUGGGAACUGCAUUUGUGACUGCAUCGCUGGAGUGCGGCAGAGGGGGAUGGAAUUCCGCGUGUAGCAGUGAAAUGCGUAGAUAUGCGGAGGAACACCGAUGGCGAAAGCAAUCCCCUGGGCCUGCACUGACGCUCAUGCACGAAAGCGUGGGGAGCAAACAGGAUUAGAUACCCUGGUAGUCCACGCCCUAAACGAUGUCAACUGGUUGUUGGGNCUUCACUGNAUCAGUAACGAAGCUAACGCGUGAANNUGACCGCCUGGGGAGUACGGCCGCAAGGGUGAAACUCA
rnacentral:rRNA from 1 species